GAUGAACGCUGGCGGCGUGCUUAAUACAUGCAAGUCGGACGAGGAAUAUUUUGUAGCAAUACGAGGUAUUCCUAGUGGCGAAUGGGUGCGUAACACGUAGGUGACCUGCCCCGAAGUGUGGAAUAACAGUUCGAAAGGACUGCUAAUACCGCAUGUGGUCCUAGAGGUUUGAGGCUUUAGGUCUAAAGCAGCAAUGCGCUUCGGGAGGGGCCUGCGGCCCAUCAGGAGUUGGUAGGGUAACGGCCUACCAAGCCUUCGACGGGUAGGGGAUCUGAGAGGAUGGUCCCCCACACUGGCACUGACACACGGGCCAGACUCCUACGGGAGGCAGCAGUAGGAAUAUGCACAAUGGGCGAAAGCCUGAUGCAGCAACGCCGCGUGCGCGAUGAAGGCCUUCGGGUCGUAAAG
rnacentral:rRNA from 1 species